CACACUGGGGUUCCGUUCUGCCAGGUAUAGAGUCCAGUGCCCCCUCUGGCUUGUGGGGACGUCCUGGGGGGCUCCCCAGGGUCUGGGCUGCCCUCCAGGUCUUGGCUGGGCUCAGGGCCUGGGACAGAAGAAAGAAGAACAGUCCUGAGCACGUUCCUCCUGGGAGCGGAAGUCACUGAGGCUUGUGCUCAGCAGCGUGUUCUCAGCCGCCUCAACACAUCUCUGUGACCUGCUUCUGGGACUCGGGAAGGGAGAGGCAGGGUCACUGAGCAGGUCCAGUCUUGGCAGUGUGACAGAAUGAUGUGAGAUGAAGACUCACGAUGCCAGCAUGGAUAGAAGACAAUCCAGACCCAAGGUACCUACCCCUCCUGCAGGAGAAGGAAUUGGCCCAAGAUUAAAGAAUUGGCUGGGACUGAAUCCCUGUCCUUCUCCCCAAAGGACAGAGCUCAUAACAAAUUUAUUUGUUGGCUUCACUCAAUAAACAGCUAUGAUCCACCUACUGCCCCCUUUUGUGCAAGGCUGCAGGUCACAGAGAGUUCCCGAGAUCCGGGAAGUGGGGGGAGAUUCAAGAUUUCAAUUAGCUAUCAUCUAGGAAGACCUUAAAGCAGAACGAGGGGCUCAGGAGUGAUGGGGUGGGAGGUGGCUCUGAGGCACAUGGGGAAGAGCUGGCUGAGUGCUCUUGGCAGGAGGAGGAGGGAGGGCCAGUCCUGGUGGGAAAGAGGUGGUGCGUGGAGGGACAGAAAGGACCCUCAGGGAGUGU
rnacentral:lncRNA from 1 species